rnacentral:lncRNA from 1 species
CCUGUCAAAGUAUCACUUAAGUUAGACACGAGUGUGCUGAGAAUCUGUCUUCAGAAUGAUUAGGUAUGUGUGGUGGCUAUUCAUUCCACUGCUUCUGUUCAUGAGUGUAAGGUUGUAAGGCAUUGCAUCUCUUACUAGUUUGUUUUUUAAAAAAAUGUCAGGUAGAAUAGUUUUCUCUUUUUGCAGGUGCUUGGAGUUUCGUGUAAAUCAGGUUCAUUGGCCCCCGUUUUGUUUUUGAUACCUAUCUAUUGAGCUGGCUGUUUCGUUGCAGAACAUUUUGCUUGGUUUUUCAGCUGUUGCAUUUCGUACUAAUUAUUUCAUACAUUUCAAUGAAGUAACUGGUGAGGCGACCACUCCACUAACUUACUAAUAGUUGGAUACAAUGUUCUCCUGCAAGCUUGAUUGGUUCCACCAGUUACAACAUUGGAAUUGAGCAUGUAAUUUUAAAUAGUACCGGACAUUAUCUUACUUUAUGGAUCCAAAUAUUUUGUUGAUCUUUGUUGUAAUCUUAUGUAAAACUUACAGCAAAACAGUGAUAAAGCUUGUUGAUGACACCCUCCCCAACAGCCUCGAAAGUUGCAAUUAG